UGCCAGCCGCCGCGGUAAUACGGAGGGUGCAAGCGUUAAUCGGAUUUAUUGGGCGUAAAGGGCGCGUAGGUGGGAAUGAAAGUCAGAUGUGAAAUCCCGGGGCUCAACCCCGGAACUGCAUUUGAAACUCCAUUUCUUGAGGGUAGGCGGAGAAAACGGAAUUCCAUGUGUAGCGGUGAAAUGCGUAGAUAUAUGGAAGAACACCAGUGGCGAAGGCGGUUUUCUAGCUUAUUUCUGACGCUGAGGCACGAGAGCGUGGGGAGCAAACAGGAUUAGAUA
rnacentral:rRNA from 1 species